rnacentral:rRNA from 1 species
GUGUCAGCCGCCGCGGUAAUACAGAGGGUGCGAGCGUUAAUCGGAAUUACUGGGCGUAAAGGGUGCGUAGGUGGUUAUGUAAGUCAGGUGUGAAAGUCCCGAGCUCAACUUGGGGAUGGCGCCUGAUACUGUGUAACUAGAGUCCUGUAGAGGGAAGUGGAAUUUCCGGUGUAGCGGUGAAAUGCGUAGAUAUCGGAAGGAACAUCGGUGGCGAAGGCGACUUUCUGGACAGAGACUGACACUGAGGCACGAAAGCAUGGGGAGCAAACAGGAUUAGAUACCCUAGUAGUCC